rnacentral:rRNA from 1 species
AUUUGAAAUCUCCGACGCUUGCGUCGGCGAGUUGUAGUUGCGAGAAGCACUUUCUCGGCGGAUCGGACGCGCCUAAGUUGCUUGGAACAGUACGUCGCAGAGGGUGACAACCCCGUCCGUGGCGCUUCCGGCCGCUCACGAUGUGCUUUCGAAGAGUCGGGUUGUUUGGGAAUGCAGCCCAAAACGGGUGGUAAACUCCAUCUAAAGCUAAAUAUUGACGUGAGACCGAUAGCGAACAAGUACCGUGAGGGAAAGAUGAAAAGAACUUUGAAAAGAGAGUUAAAAAGUACGUGAAACCGUUGAAAGGGAAACGAAUGGACUCAGCAAUGCGCCGCUUGAGAUUCAGCCGGCCGGCGGGGUCGGCCCGGGGUUUGCGGAUCCGAACGGACCGCGGUCUCGGGCUCGUCCUCGCCGACCGUCGCACUUCUCUUGGGCGCGCGUCAACGUCGGUCGGUUCUGGGUCUGAAGGGUUCCGGGAAGGUGAGUCCGCGCUUCUCUCUCCCCGGGGAGUCGUGCGGUCCGUUACAGCCCGGUUCUCGGAUCGGCUCGGAGUCGACCGAGGCGGUCGCAGCGCAUGCCUCUCGUGGCUAGGGUCCCGUUCUUCCGGCCGGUCGUCGACCGCGGUGGACUGCUUGCAGUGCUCCGCGACUGCUGCCGGUCGUUGGGGCGGUGAUCUCGUACAAUGCGCUUAGGACGUUGGCGGUCAUAUGGGUCCAUCCGACCCGUCUUGAAACACGGACCAAGGAGUCUAACAUGUGCGCGAGUCUCGGGGUGUUCUAAACCCAGAGGCGGAAUGAAAGUGAAAGCGGCCCCGGCCGCCGAGGCGAGAUCCCCGAGAGAAUCGGGGCGCAUCGUCGACCGACCUAUCCUACUCUUAGGAAGGUUUGAGUAAGA